UACAGAGGGUGCAAGCGUUAAUCGGAAUUACUGGGCGUAAAGCGUGCGUAGACGGUUAUGUAAGUUAGGUGUGAAAGCCCCGGGCUCAACCUGGGAAUUGCAUUUAAGACUGCAUAGCUAGGGUGCGGAAGAGGGAAGCGGAAUUUCCGGUGUAGCGGUGAAAUGCGUAGAUAUCGGAAGGAACAUCAGUGGCGAAAGCGGCUUCCUGGUCCAGCACCGACGUUCAUGCACGAAAGCGUGGGGAGCAAACAGG
rnacentral:rRNA from 1 species